rnacentral:rRNA from 1 species
AAUGAACGCUGGCGGCGCGCCUAAUACAUGCAAGUCGAGCGAGAAGACGUAGCAAUACGUUUGUAAAGCGGCGAACGGGUGAGGAAUACAUGGGUAACCUACCCUCGAGUGGGGAAUAACUAGCCGAAAGGUUAGCUAAUACCGCGUACGCUUCUUGGACUUCGGUUCAGGGAGGAAAGCGAUGCCGAGGGUAUCGCGCUCUUGGAUGGGCUCAUGUCCUAUCAGCUUGNGGUGAGGUAACGGCUCACCAAGGCUUCGACGGGUAGCUGGUCUGAGAGGACGAUCAGCCACACUGGCACUGCGACACGGGCCAGACUCCUACGGGAGGCAGCAGUAAGGAAUAUUGCGCAAUGGGCGAAAGCCUGACGCAGCGACGCCGCGUGGGGGAU